ensembl:lncRNA
AAAAAAAAAAUUCAAAUCUAAUUGUGUUUAAGAACAAAUCGGAUGUUUCAUUCUAUUAGAUGAGAAAACAUUUUGCAGAAAUUUCUUAAUCAUUUCAUUGGACUGCCAAACAAGCCACCAAGCAAUUGAUGACUGGCCAGUACUGAAGGUGUUUCACCAAUAGAAAACACCGAAAUGCUGAUUUUAGGUCUGAACUCACUCCCAGAGUUUCCAGCCUCCCAUGAUGACAUCACUAAAAGGCAACCAUAUUUGAAGAGACAGAGAGAUGUUGUUUGAGGUCUUUCCCUUUGAACCGCGAGAUGGUUACUCCGUACGACUCAACCUAGACUGGGUCGUAAGACAUGCACAGAAACUCCACACAGACAGCAACCUGAGCUUCGGAUCAAACGGGGAACCCUGGAGCUGAGUGAUGGCAACACCACUACUGUGAAACCAUGCUGUCUGUAACUCAUCACCACAUUGUUGGGUCAGGUUCUCUGGUGAUAAUAUACUGUGCACUGGA